rnacentral:rRNA from 1 species
CAGUCGCCACGGGAAUACCGAGGGUGCAAGCGUUAAUCGGAAUUACUGGGCGUAAAGCGCGCGUAGGUGGUUUGUUAAGUUGGAUGUGAAAUCCCCGGGCUCAACCUGGGAACUGCAUCCAAAACUGGCAAGCUAGAGUAUGGUAGAGGGUGGUGGAAUUUCCUGUGUAGCGGUGAAAUGCGUAGAUAUAGGAAGGAACACCAGUGGCGAAGGCGACCACCUGGACUGAUACUGACACUGAGGUGCGAAAGCGUGGGGAGCAAACAGGAUUAGAUACCCCUGUAGUCCCUGUCUCUUAUAC